rnacentral:misc_RNA from 1 species
AUUUUUUUUUUUUUUUUUUUUCGCUCCAUCGAUAUCUGAAUAUUCGUAUGUUUUUCUACUCUGUUCUACUCAAUUUAAAAUAUUAAUUUCAUGGUCUCAUGUCAUGACUCAUGCUCGUGUAUCAUUUCUGAGUGCUUCCCAAACUCCAAUCCACUCUACUAAAGCCUUUACCUCUAAACAGGGUAAAAUGGAAGAAAACAACAAUCUUCUGCAUAAGGACACCCAACUAGUUGGACUUAAGUGUAAAUUAAA